rnacentral:rRNA from 1 species
UGGGUAACCUGCCUCAAAGAGGGGAAUAGCCUCCCGAAAGGGAGAUUAAUACCGCAUAAUAUGUUUAAGUCGCAUGACUUUAACAUCAAAGGAUUUUCUUUUAGAAAUUCCACUUUGAGAUGGACCCGCGGUGCAUUAGCUAGUUGGUGAGGUAACGGCUCACCAAGGCAACGAUGCGUAGCCGACCUGAGAGGGUGAUCGGCCGCAUUGGAACUGAGACACGGUCCAGACUCCUAGGGAGG